rnacentral:lncRNA from 1 species
CAAGGAAGCAGCAGCAGGGCAGACUUGGAGUCCAAGGACAAGCUGUUGUGUAUCACAGAGAUCCUGUUGAAGAAAUCAGCCUUGUGCCAAACACUGAAGAAACAGUCAGAUUCCAGCUCAAUUCGAUUUAUGUAACACAAUUCUGUUCUGUUUGCUCCUCUUGGCAAAGUCUCUCUUGAAUGACUGGGAUUCUCAGCAGCUCCAGCAUGAGGCCCAUUGACACCGGAAGAGUGGCAGGGAAGAGCUCUUGGUUGUCAGCUUGCAACAAUGCCUUCAGGUGCCCACUGCAUGCAAACACAUCCCCCAGGAGAGGGCUCCUCUAUGUUGGAAUAUGUACACAAGGCCUUCUAAAGUCUCCUGAAGCCAAUCAGCUAUGUAGAGUGUGCCCGAUAGACAAUGAUGGAGCUGGAAACUGAAGGACUUUGGAAGCAGGGAAAAAUCACGAGAUACCUGCAGUGAUCUUGGAAGGAGAAUUGGACACUAAAGUGAUCAAUAUGCAAGCCUGAGAGCCUGAGACCAAUAUAAAGAUUGAGAAAAACACCAGAUUUUCUUUUGCAGGAUGAUGUCACAGCCCUUCCCCUCCUGUGAAUAGAACCAUUUUAAUCAAGAUAAAACCGCCAAUGAGAUCCCUGGAAAGGUCACACGGAGUCGCUAUGUGUAGUACCAGUCCCACAAAAGAGCCCUUCCUUCUUGAACAAGUUUUGAAGUGGAAAGAAUGUUUCUAUUCAUGACAUCUUUCUAACUUAACAAGGUGGAGUUGAAAAGACCUGCUCCUGAACUCAAGGAACAUCCAACUCUACAUAUUUUGCUUCAGCCUAACCCUUGAGAGUGAACCAUUUCAACGGAAAUGCUUUUAUGGCUGUUUCAAGGCUGAUAACCUACAACAGAUCAAGGUCCAUGAAACAGGGAAGCGCCUUAUUUAGGGGAGGUGUUCUCUGGAGGCCAUCAUUCCUGGGUCAGAAAGGAAGUUUCUUGUCUGAUAGUUUUACGGUGAUUAAAAGAAUCUAAGCCCGUGUUCCUCUACCCUAGCCUUGAGUCCGAUUUCUUUUGAAGCUAAGUCAAAUAUUAAACAUGAACAAAUUCUGAAUUUUUAAAAACCUCAAAGCAUCACCUAAAUAUUUAUUUAUAUCCUUACAUAUAGUAUGUGCAUAUGUAUAUAUGUAUACACAUAAAUGCACACCUCAAUUAUGUGUCUAAACAUAUUGUUUCACAAUAUUAUAUUGAGUCCAUCUGAAUGUGGAGAAAUGUCUUAUUGCUUUCCUUUCUACAUCAUUUCUGAAUUCUCUUCUCAUUCUACUUUCCCCAAAGCACGCACCCCUGACAUUGCACUGUGGUGUGCCCAUGUGUGCUAACACCCCCAAAAAAACAAAGCACAUUUGCAUGUCUAAGAACCACUCCAUUCCUGCAAAUGUCUGUGUUAGUCCAGUUAAUUUUUAAUUGUUAAAUUAUAACCACUUUAUUCAAAAACCAUUU